ACACCAUCCAGAGCGGCUGAGAGACCUGGCUCGACGACGCCGCAGCAACCCGUGAUCGCGCGGGUGCUUCGGCCAGGACCGAUGGAUC
rnacentral:ncRNA from 2 species